rnacentral:sRNA from 1 species
GCUGGGCAGGGUGGCACAUGCCUGUAACCCCAGCAGCUCAGGAGGCCGAGGCAGGAGGAUCACAAGUUCAAAGCCAGCCUCAGCAAAAGUGAGGCACUAAGCAACUCAGUGAGACCCUGUUUCUA